GGUUGGAUGGUCUAACGGUAAGAUGUCCGCCUCCGUAAGCAAUCGAUUUUGGGCCAUUCAAGGCGAUUUUGGGCUAACCCCUGCAUCUCUUCCUUGGAUACCAAGAGCGGUUGGGGAACGGUGGGAGAUUCCAGUUCAAAUCUGGAUCCAACCA